AACGUAGGUGGCAAGCGUUAUCCGGAACUACUGGGCGUAAAGGGUGCGCAGGCGGUUAUAUAAGACAGAUGUGAAAUCCCCGGGCUCAACCUGGGAACUGCGUUUGUGACUGUAUGACUAGAGUACGGUAGAGAGGGGUGGAAUUCCUGGUGUAGCAGUGAAAUGCGUAGAUAUCAGGAGGAACAUCGAUGGCGAAGGCAGCCCCUUGGACCUGUACUGACGCUCAUGCACGAAAGCGUGGGGAGCAAACAGG
rnacentral:rRNA from 1 species